rnacentral:lncRNA from 1 species
UUGGUUCCACAAACUGAUCAAGUGACCAAUAAGAUUCACAAAGUUGGCAGUAGCAGGGACCUAGCUGGGCCUUGUCCCUAACCAGAUUCAGAGGGAGCCCCCACCAGCACCCCGAUACUUCCUGUCCUCAGUUUCAGUCUUUGCCCCUUCCUGGCAGACAGGACCCUCUUACCCACAUUUAGAACGUUUGCAGGACUCCUGGACUUCCUGCAACAAGCACUGGGACAGCACUGCCACUGCUCUGAGCUCUGCUGGUCAUUCUGGCACAGCAACAGCUGACAGAUCUGGCAGCAACAGGGGGUUAUAGAUGAGACGGACAAGAAGGUAGGUGGAAUUAACAAAGGCUCUAGACUAUCUUCCCAGGAAGUGAAAGGAGUCCCCAGAAACCAAAAGGAGGGCUGUGGGAGAGCAGUCAUGAUCCAGAGACGGGCGGGGGAGAGUGCUAAGGACGCCUGAUAAGUAGGCAAUGAGAAGUCCCUGGCUCCUGAGGGAACGUGUAUGUAGGGUUUACAUUCUUGUGUUUCUGGCCCAAGGAAAGACAAAGACACACAGAGACAAAGAAUGACAGAAACAGAGAGAGGAGAAAAUAAAAACAAACACAUGAAACCAUUAUGACAAAAAUGAGAGUCAGAGACAGAAGGACACACAGACAGAGAAAGAGAGAGAGAUAGCAGAAUACUGUAAUAAAAUACAGUAAUAUUUUAUAAUGUAUAAAAUACAGUAAUAAAAAUUAAAAUGUACCAGAAAUGAAAAGAGACCAGAUAGAUACAGAGAGGGAAGGAGAUGAAGAAAGAGAGAACAAAGGAGAUGGAGAGAAAGGGAGGGAGACAAAGCGGAACAGAGAGGGCGAAUGCGGCAGACAGAGCUGGUUAGUCCAAGGACAAUGUCGGGUGGUCCGGACGUACUGUCAGGUGAAGCUCUCACAGAGGACUUGGUCCCUAUUUGUCAGGGCUCCCUUUCCUGGGAUGCCCACUGAAGGACCUGAUUGAGCUCCUGCCCUAGGAAAGGAAGAGGGGAUCACCCACAAGCUAGCCAGGAAUCCUUCCCUCUCUGACCCAUUCUGGGAGACGGGGAUUGCUCUGAGGGGUGACUUUAAUUCAAUCACUCCCUUUCAGCCAGGCUGACACUUUCUUAAUCAUACUGUAUUCUGAGCAUCCUCCUCCCCUCCUUCACGGGAGCCCUGCAUCACAGUCUGAUGGUUCUCCUUGUCUCCUCUGGCUAUCUCCCCUUUAUCCCUCACACGCAUUUUCCCCAAUAAGCCCUUGAUUCCCUACUCUUGUCUUGACAUCUGCUUUUCAGAGGAACCAAACUAACCCAUUCACCUAUUUGUUUUGGUUUGAACUGUGCAGGCAAUGAAGGGAAAGCAAGUGGGGAGGCAGAAGAAAAUUCAGAGAAGAAAGAACAUGUUUUUUCCUAAUAGAAAUUACUAUCCAAUGAAGAUAAUAAUUAGAUUCCAUUAGAAACAUUAAAAAGAGUGAGGCUCCCAUUUUUAUUUAAAUGACAAUGUUCAUCCUACACCUACAAUGUUAUCACUUGUAACUAUGUAGAUGAUGAUGAAAAAUAUUAUAUGUCACCUGAAAACAUCCUAGGGAAUAAAUAGUUUUUCAAAAAUUUGUUUAAGCUGUAUGUGUCAAGGAAAAAUAAAUUUUUGGAAGACUACUCUCCAGACCUAAAAGCCCUGUGUGAUCCCUCAGCAAGACCGAACCAAACAGCAGAAAGCGAGAAAGUGCAAGGCUAACGCUUCACGAGUAGGUAGCUUAGAGGCUCAGCUCCCGAACUAAGACUCAAGGUAGCUAAACUGGGCUGUGGACAAGACUUCCUUUUCCUGAGUUAUGAAGGCCUAAGAUUUUAGACCUUAAAGUAGCCUAGAACUAAGGCACGUUCUGCUCCACUGCCAACCCAAAGUCCCAAAUCUAGUCCUGGAUCACACUAUUCCAACAAGCAGAAAGGCCACCAGCAGCGGGGCCAGAGACCAUGUGGCAAAAAGCCUUGCCUCCUUAUCCCAGGACAACAUACACCUCUCAGACGAUCCAACACAGAAAACAUGACUCAAAAAUGCCCCUGGGAUCUGAGUGUCAGGAGACAUUGAAAGAGAGAAACAUAUCAGAAAAACAGAAGUGCAGGAACUGAUCAAAACUAAAUGUGAAACAGUAACCCCAUCCUUUUUUACAAAUCCUAAAGGAUGCCCCUCGAGGCUGAGGACAGAGAAGGGGGUGGGGGGGGGAGACCCAGCAGUCGUAGAUUUUCAUGUAGUUUUAAAUAUAUAACACUUUAUUUCUUUGUGUUGUUUUCAUAUUAAUAAGCAUUUAACUCUGGAUAAAAGGAAGACGGGGAUGAGGAGAGCAUGGAAGAACCAGAAAUCAGUUAUCCAAUCUGAGCCUGCUCUAUCAGUGUCUUCUCGGGGUUGGUUCAGAAGGGGUUUCUACCUGGGGAGAGAAGAGAGAGUCAGAGACAUGGGAGGGUGCACACUGAGCGGCGGACGCGGACUGGGUCCCAAGACCACUGCGGUCUCAAUCCUGUGAGGGCCUCUCCUCCCGAAAGCACUGAGAUGUGCUGCCAAGAAGUCAGGGACUGGGGAUCAGGAAUUGUAGGCAAGCCAUCCCAAAAAAUUAUAACCUGAUAAUCCCUUACCUGACAAUUUAAAUGUGAAGAGGAAAGCGAUUCACUCUUACAAGCUCACUCCAAACUCCCCAAGGGCUCCAUGCAUCGACGCCUACAGUUGUAGAAACAACACUUCCUGACGCCCUUGCAGCCUCUAUCGCGCCGGCACAGAGGUAAGAGGACGAAGGGGCAGGAAAGUGAAAAUUCGGGGCACUCUCCCGGUUUCGUUACUGCCGAGGAAAAAUGCCGCAGGGUGAGCUGGGGGCACCAGGGCGUCGUUGCCAGGCAGCCGGGCCAGCUCGUCCCAAGGGCUCCUCCGAGGGAGGGCUCCCCCACCCCGACCACACACGGGACCGCCUCGGCCCACACGCACCCUUCAGCAAACGAGGCUGCGCCGCGUGGAGGCAGAGGACCAGGAGGACCACAGUGAGCGCAAAGAGGCUGCUCAGCUUCAUGACGCGGGAGAAGAGAGCGGGCAGCGUGGAGGCCCGAUCUCGGUUUAUAUGCUGGUAAUCUGAGCCUCAGAAGUGAAUAAUGAAUAUCCAAAGUCCUACAGCAAGUUAGGGGCACAGAUGGAGCGGAACACAGUCUGUGGGAAGAAAACACCAAGAGUGUCUUGCUCUGGCACCCAAGAUGGAAAUGAGCGUGGGUGUAGCAGACAAUUUUCAUUUCUUGGCUUGUGAACUUGAGAAUACCAUUCCUAUCUGGAGGGAAUUCCCCUCCACAUGAGUCCUGGUAGUUAGAGACUCAGACCAUCUUUUAUAACAAAGCUGGAAAGAAAGCUGCCUGCUGUCUUGCUUCCCCUGUAGCACAACUUCAUGUGCACAUUUCCUGGGUUCAGAUAAGCAGAUGCACAAACUCUGGACUGGGCUUGAAAGCUCCUGAUAAUAAGAAGAGAGAGAUUAUUCCAGGGCAGCUACAGAAAUGGCAGCUGUAUUGGUCUUCUCAGAAGAGGAACGGAAAUGCUGGCUCAGGCAUUGCACAGGGUCUGCUUUGGGCAUAUUGGCUGAAGGAUGAAUGGCAGCCACACCCGCAGUGAUAACACUGAUGAGCUCCACAGAGGCCAGUAUUGGACUGCUGUUCUGCGUUCACAGCCUCCCUUGUUUUUGCCUUUUCUCCUGACUUGGGUAUCCAGGUUCCCUAGUGAUUUUGUGAACUCUCCAGAUCCUUUUCGGUUUAAAAGAUGGCUUCUUUGUAAUAAAAAAAUAAUGGACUUGGUGACUCUUGCUCUGGAAUGGUGGUCUGAGGAGCUCCAUGGAACCACUUCCCAAACAAAUAACCAUAACUUGUGAAAGUUUUUUUUUUAAAGAUUGUCACCUGAACUAACAUCUGUUGCCAAUCUUUUUUUUUUCUUCUUUUUCUUCUCUCCAAAGUGCCCUAGUACAUAGUUGUAUAUUCUAGUUGUAGGUCCUUCUGGCUCUGCUAUGUGGGACGCUGCCUCAGCAUACCUUGAUUAGUGGUGCUAGGUCUGUGCCCAAGAUCUGAACCAGUGAAACCCUGGGCCGCCAAAGGGGAGCGCACCAACUUAACCACUCGGCCAUGGCCUGGCCCUGUGAAAGUUAUUUUUAAAAACAACCAUUUGAAGUCUCCAGGAAUUGUCCUCAGGGCAUACAGCAAAUGAAGAAACAUUUAUUUUUAAACAUCUACUAAACCUUGUAAGAACAAAGAGAGUCUAUGGCACUUGAGCCACAAUCCGCUCCCUACUCACCAGCUCCCAGCUCAGAGUGACAGAAGGUCCAUUCUGGGCACAUAUAACCAAGAGGUGGGGGCUUCUUCUUCUCCCAGCUCCGUCAUGGGUCAUGAUAGCUCCCUAGGAGGAAUCGGCUGCCGGCAUAUCUCAAUCCCCCUCCCAGCUCCAUGUUGCAGGAGCUAAAUUCCAGGAGAGUGUGGCCAGGAGGUAGGGGGCUCCAUUCUUCCACCCAACCCCACUUGUAGGGCCGAGGCUGUACCCCAGGCACUGAAGAUAAAGAAAUCUGAGGCCCCAGCAGCGCUUGACGUGGCUCACUUGUAGAGUGGAGUUUUCAUGCCAGAAAAUGCAUGCCAAAAAGACCAAAGGCCACUGCACAUGACCUUGUAAAACAGAGGUGUGAGAAGUGGGCCACCAUCUCUGACACACCUCCCUAGAGAUAGCUCCGAGAGUUUGCUCAGGAUAAGAGGCAAUCUAUAACAACAGAAAACUCUAAAGCUCACUGCAAAGGGACUGACUUCAAUUGGAACAGAGUAUAGGAAAGGUCAAGUCUAAGGGCAUGCUUGAAAACAAUGGAGGUUUGGGUGGUGAGCAAUUAAGAAGAAGCUGGUAUCUCCAGGAGAACAGAAAUCUCAACUACAAUCCAGCUAGUUUACCUUUAAAUCCUCCAGAUUUAAAUCCUCCAGGUUUAAAGGUUAUUUCCAGAGAGAUUCACAGAAAAAAAGGACAACUAAGAAGAACCCUCCUGGAAUUGGAACAAACCUCAGAGACUGACCUCAAAAACUACCUCUGCAAAGGGACCCCAAUAACUGGAUAAGACUGUGGAGCCAUUUAUGUCACAGGAAAUUUUUGGAAAAAAUAGAGUGAACAACUGGCAAUUUAGUGGAGCCUAAAAACUGAGUGUGAUACUGACAGAGCCACACAGCUUAACAGAAGGAUCAGGGAAAAAGACAGUCAAAGUGACUGUCUGAUGAGGAUCUUCCUCAAGUAACAGUUAUAGGUUUGGACAUGGGAAAGGACUUAGUCUUGUUGGAAAUUUCCAAUAUUUUAGUGUUUUUACUACUUCGAGGGAUCCAGCGUUCUGGGGUAAUGAGAUUAGGAUAGAUCAGUGGUACUCAACCAGGGCGAUUUGCUCCCUUGAGGACAUUAGGCAAUGCCUAGAGAGAUUCUGUUCUAAUUUGGGGGGAUGACCUAAUAGGGAGAGGCCAGGAAUGCUGCUGAAUACCCUGCAGUUCACAGGAAAGCCCUGAUCCUCACAGAAAAGAAUUACCUGGCCACAAAUGUUAGUAGUGUCAAGGUUGGAAAAUCCUGGGUUAGAUACAUUGGUCCAGUAUUUGUGUUCAUCCAGGGUGGUUCACCUGGGGAAAUUCAAGGAAGGAAAGGACGUGAUUGGGUGUUGAGCCCUCCCUGAAAGCAGCAGCAUCAGGCAGAUUUGGGUCAGCUGUCCUUCUGUGUCUCAGCGUUUGUGACACUGACUCUUCCAGUGGCUCUUCUCCUCGCAUAUCUAAAGGUGUCCUAGUCCAUAGGUUCUAGAUUCUCAGGGAGAGAACUUCAGCUCUUGGUUUUAUUUUAAAGGUCAAGGGUUGUUUUAUUGGGAGUUUGUUUUGGUUUUUAAUUUUCUCACUUUUUAGAGCCCAUCGAAUAUGUCCAGUAGCGUGUUUGAAAUCUUCUAACAGUAAUUUCCCACGGCAGUUUAUUUUUCCUAAGUGCCCUAUUUCAAACAGAAGCCUAUUUAUGAAGAGACAGGACAAGUCUCACCUGACUUGAGCUUUUAAUUAAAUCCAUCCCCCAAAAUUGUUUGAAAGUUUUCAAAGUCUGUUUUUAAAGGCUCUU